GAGUGCGAGCAGCAUGGGUGACUGCACUGGACUGUAGAUCCGGCGUCUUUGACAUACGGGGUUCGAAGCCCUGGUACUCCACCA
rnacentral:tRNA from 1 species